AGCGAACGCUGGCGGCAGGCUUAACACAUGCAAGUCGAGCGGGCACUUUCGGGUGUCAGCGGCGGACGGGUGAGUAACGCGUGGGAACGUGCCCUCUGGUUCGGAAUAACUCAGGGAAACUUGAGCUAAUACCGGAUACGCCCUUUUGGGGAAAGGCUUGCUGCCGGAGGAUCGGCCCGCGUCUGAUUAGCUAGUUGGUGAGGUAACGGCUCACCAAGGCGACGAUCAGUAGCUGGUCUGAGAGGAUGAUCAGCCACACUGGGACUGAGACACGGCCCAGACUCCUACGGGAGGCAGCAGUGGGGAAUAUUGGACAAUGGGCGCAAGCCUGAUCCAGCCAUGCCGCGUGAGUGAUCAAGGCCUUAGGGUUGUAAAGCUCUUUUAUCCGGGACGAUAAUGACGGUACCGGAGGAAUAAGCCCCGGCUAACUUCGGG
rnacentral:rRNA from 1 species